GACAAUGAGUUGGUGACGACUAUCUUAAGGAAAAGGAAUGAGGAAGCUAUAGUUGACUCCUCACUCUCAGCAAAUACCGUGGCCACUGACACUGACCUGAGAGCAGCAUGAGACUAUGGAAACCAUGCCUUUCUCCAAAUCCAGCCCAUCAUUCCAAGUGCACUUCUCUCUUUGGAUUCGUGAGCAUAACUGAAGAGAGUGCACGAGGGUUCUAGCGGAUAUCGACUAAUUUUAAGUUUUCGAGCCCAGAGAAUUUCUUGUUUUAACUAAUCUCCCGUUAAGCCGAAGCAAGGCAUGGUCAACCACAACAAAGAUGGCGGCAGCAACGUCUCCACGGCAACGGCGACGCAUUUGUCCGCAAGCGCACCAACCUUUUGUUCCGGCCUGCCAUUUUGACGUCACUUCCGGCUCCGGCGGGCGGUGUGCGCGCAGCUCUUCCUGUUGCUGCUGUGGUGGAGAUCCCGGUCCUGAUGAGUGGAGUCUGAGUGAGUCUCGCGGAGGGACUCGGAGAGAAUGGGGCACCAGCAGCAUGGAAAGGGAAGGUGGGAAGAACGCGGCUGUUGUCGCAGUUGUGACUGAGCCUCGGUUUACCCAGCGAUACAGGGAAUAUCUCGAGAAGCAGAAACUCUUGGAUAGACAGCACCGUGUGGCAAAGAUGCCGGAUGGCACCGUGGCGCUACCCGUGCUGGGCGAGGCUUUCCGUGAACAGCACCUGCGGGAGCUGAGGAAUUGUGUGGCCCCAGGCAGCACCUGUAUAGUAACCCAGCUCCUGGAUCCUGUUCCCUCCAAGAAGGCUCAGAGUUGUUCACCUGCCCAAAGGCUGUGUCUUGAAGUGAGUCACUGGGUAGAGGGCCGGGGAGUGACGUGGUCAGCUGAGUUGGAGGCUGAUUUGCCCCGAUCUUGGCAACGGCAUGGUAACCUCUUGUUGCUGAGUGAAGACUGUUUCCAAGCCAAGCAGUGGAAAAAUCUGGAACCAGAACUCUGGGAGACUGUUGCGUCGGCCCUUGGCGUCCGUCGUGUGGCCAAACGAGGGCGGGUAUCACCAGACGGCACUCGAACACCAGCCGUGACUCUGCUGCUGGGCGACCAUGGCUGGGUAGAGCAUGUCGAUAAUGGGAUCCGAUAUAAGUUUGACGUGACCCAGUGCAUGUUCUCCUUCGGAAACAUCACCGAGAAGCUUCGAGUGGCAUCGCUGCCCUGUGCCAGAGAGGUGCUGGUGGAUCUCUACGCAGGGAUUGGCUAUUUUACGUUGCCCUUCCUGGUCCAUGCUGGUGCUGCCUUCGUCCACGCCUGUGAGUGGAACCCCCAUGCUGUAGUUGCCCUGAGAACUAAUCUUGAGAUCAAUGGAGUGGCAGAUCGGUGCCAAAUACACUUUGGGGAUAACAGAAAACUGAAGCUCUCAAACAUUGCAGACAGGGUGAACCUGGGGCUGAUUCCCAGCUCUGAAGAAGGCUGGCCCAUUGCCUGCCAGGUGCUAAAACAGGAUGCUGGGGGCAUUUUGCAUAUCCACCAAAAUGUGGAAUCUUUCCCAGGGAAGACUCUCCAGCCUCUUGGAAGCAGUGAAAUGGAGAAGGAGCAUUGGCCUUAUCCUCAGCAAAUUAUCACCAACCAAGGGACAAAUGGAGCUACCGGGGAUUCUAGGAGAAAAACGCUGCCAGCAGCCACCAAACCAGAGUGGCAGAGGUGGGCAGAAUCUGCAGAAACUCGUAUUGCCACCCUUCUUCGGCAGGUGCACGGGAAACCAUGGAAGACACAAAUCCUGCACAUCCAACCAGUGAAAUCCUACGCUCCCCACGUGGACCACAUAGUCUUGGAUCUGGAAUGCCGCCCCUGCCCUCUAGUUGGCUAGAGAAGGUGGAUCCUGAGACCCAAGGAUCUACAUUCUCCUCCGAGCACUUGCUGGAUUGGCCUGGUCAGAAAGAGGCACCUAAUGGAACCGAGGAAAAAAGACUGAAAGGAUCAGGAGGCUCAUGGAGGCUUGGUCACCUCGGUCCGGGAACGUUUAAAAGUGCUGAAGCUUCCUCCGUGAGCAUCAGUAUUAGUUGUCACUUAGGGGGCACCGUUUGAUGGAGAGGUUGUGAUUAAAAAACAGUGACGAUAACUUUAUUAAACUCCCUCAACUAUGAGUUGCUUUAUUCAUUAACUUCAUGAUUUUAAUAAGUGAUGCGCAUCUCUUGGCCUAGGGAGUAUAAUGCAUGCAUGUUAAAUAUAAAAACAUAGAAAUUUGAAAUGAUGAGAAACACAUAAAUAGCAUUUUGAAUUCACUUUCUCCCACCCUGGACACGUGUCACUAUAUGUCAUUCUGAACAGCCUCGGGGUGCGGCCGCUUCACACUGGGCAAGCCGUGACACUCGUCAUUUUCUUGGCCUUUGGUAGCGUCCUCUUGUGCGUACUGAUCAUUACUCAGCUGACGCUUCAGGGGAUGGUCGGCAGAUCUCGGAACUUCUCCGUGGCCCUCUCCCGUUUGGCAUUCCAACCUCUAAACUCGCUAACUGGGCUCCUGGGACUCCCAGUACCAUCUCCGCCUCAGGGAGUCGGCUGGGCUCCACCCGGCUUCCCCCUCGUCCUGCCACAGCCGGGGAACUUUCUCCAGGCAAUAGGCUGGAGCCAUCAAACCAUUAAAUGGCUCGCCUUAUUUUUAUCUCCCGUGGAUCAUUGUCCUUCAUUGCCUUGAGGAUAGUUGUUUCUUAUAUUUUGUGUAGCUUUUUUUUUUUUAACUCUUUAGAAGUUUAUAAUAGCGUAUAAAUUUACUAGUUUUCACAAUCACUGAAGAAACUCACGUUAGCAAUAAUAAAUACAGAUCAGUACUUAAGCUGACACAAAACUUCAACAUAUAAAGUUCAUAAGAAUUUCUUACCACAAUUGUGUUAGGAUCCCUACCUAUGUUAUAAACCGAAUGUAAAACUAUUAACACUAAGUACAGGGGAAAUUUUCUGAUGAGAUUUGAGACUGCCUGCAAGAUUACUUGAUCAACAAUCACAUAAUUUCAGAGAGGGCCCAAACUGUCAGAACAGGUGUUUGCUUCUGGCUUUUUGAAGGUGAAGGUUGAAUCAAAGGCAAAUAGAAAAUAACGAAUAUGAGGCUACAACUGCGGUUUGGAACAUACCACACACAUGCACACGCACGUAUCCACCACACUUAUGUACCCUGUCGUCUCCUGGAUGGAGUGGCCCAUGCAACGAAGCUCUCUCUACGCUAUUAGGUAGGUAUUUAUAGAUGGACAGACAGACGGUCCUAGUUUCCUUUUUUAGUCAUUGAAUUUUGCUUUUUUAAAUGAAAGCUAUAUGUAUGCAUAGUUUCAUAACUCAAGCGAAGGUCAACAAAACUUGAUGAGUAAAACUGCAGCUGCACAACACCGAACAAAGCAACUGGCUCAAUCCUACACGGCUCCUUUUCUCUUGUUUUUGUGUCUUCUGUCAACAAUUUCAGCUGGGCCCAUGUGCCAAAGGGGAUGCAGGAUCUAAGCAACAUGUACCAGCAGGAGCCAUGAGAGUACGUAUGGAACUGAGCCCUGAGGGUGCUGGGUGAGAAGCAGUUUGCGUUCAUGUAGGACCCCACUCCCCCAUCAUUAUAGUCUGAGGAGACCUAUGGGAACAUUUCGAGGAACACCCUACUAACCUACUAUACUUACGGCGUCAUACUCAUUAGGCCAGAGAAACAAUGAGCUAGUAUAUUGUACUCCGAAUAAUCACUAAUACCAUCCAGCAACCUGUUCCAUCAGUGAAAUUUUUAGGGCUACUGGUCUGCUUGAAUGCCAAGAUUGCUCCUUCACGGUAAAGAACAGAUUUUUCCAUCUCACCCACUCAUCAGUGUUCCUCCGUCAAGGAAGCACGCCAACCUCUGUAUGCUCCUUUGUGGGAAUUCGGGACUUGGGAAUACUGCUCUGACUCCUAUCCUGGGUGAUAUAGAAGGCUGCCAGUUUUCGGUGGGAUCCACAGCACAUAAAGUCUCUGUAGCAGGUACAGGUUGCGGUGUAAUUAGCUUUGUUUCAUGGACCAUUCAAUCCAGGAGAUUCUAUGGUACAAGAGUAUCUGUGAUAAGCAAAGCAGCCAUGGAAGUUUAGGACAAGCUCCAAUGGGAAAAUCACAAGGUAGUCUCAAGUGGAUGUCUGUAGCAAGGCCAGAUGGUAUGCAGCAGAGAGCCAGGCGUCAUCCAAAAAUGGCUCCUGGCAUGCUAAUGGGCAUUGGUAGAAUCUGAGCAUCUUCUGGGACUUCGGGUAACCAUGUAGCCAGAGUUGCCCAUCAUGAGCUGAGUUUUGUCAGACCCUUCAAGUCAAACCAUCAUAAGGUGGAAGUGGUACAUCUGGGAUGGAUGGCGAGAGCCAGAGGAAACGAAUAGGUGCACAGGUGAGGAUACUGAUGAUUAGAGAGUUUAAGUUCUCUGUCUAGAGUGAGAGGCAGAAGCGGGCAAACUUCCUGCCAAAUGCAUAGAAAGUGCUCGGCAAAUGUCUGUCACAGGAAUUGAACGAACUGAAGGAGUCAGUAUAUACUCAACAUUGAUUGCAAAUGCCACCAUAUUCUCUGUUGUUUCCUUUGUUAACUAAACAACAGACUUUUCCUAUUCACUUGGCAUUUACAAAACCGGAAAACUCAAAUAGUAGCUGAAUGUUGAUGGGCAUAUCUGAAAUUUACUUUAAUGAAAUGAGAAAAACUGUAAUUUGGGAUCAGAAGCCUUUUUUUUUUUUUUUUUUUUUUUUUUAAGUAAUUCCAAAGGUCUGAGAAAAAGUUAUGGGGUGUAUCUAUCCCUUUUUGGGCUGUCAAUUCCCACCCUUCCCCCCAGCAUCCCCAUCAUCCGUUUGAAGUAAAUACAUAAUACAUUGGUGGGUAGAGGUGGGGUGGGUAGUUCUAAGUGCUGGCUUCUUUCUGCUUUCUCCCGCUAAGGAAGCUGUUGGCACUGGCUGGUACAGCUGGGGUAAGACACAGGGUCCCAUAAGCUCGGCUAAUUGCAUCUCACUCUUGGAACUUGAAAUCGUGAAGAAUAAUGAAAAUAACCCUCUAAUAAUCUCCCUUUUUGCUUAAGAUAGCCCAGAAUCAGUUCCUGUUGCUUAGAACAGAGACCUGGCAAGUGCAAAGGUCAACAGAAAAGUCAAACAAGUUUUUACAUGUUCUGUUUCCAAAGGCUUUUUAGAACUAAAGGGCAUUCAACCAUUAAAGCCAAAUGAAGUUAUUUUUAAGCUGGUAAUAUUUUAAACGGGCAACUUACGUAUAUAGAGUGUGUCUGUGUGAAUGCACACACACCCUCCACACUGCUCUGAGUGGAUUCAAUAUAAACAUAUACCUGAAUUGUGCAACAUUCAAGUCAAUGUAGAAACCAAGCAAAGAUUAAAUUCAGUGAAUUGCA